rnacentral:rRNA from 1 species
CCUACGGGUGGCAGCAGUGGGGGAUAUUGCACAAUGGGGGGAACCCUGAUGCAGCGACGCCGCGUGGGUGAAGAAGCGCCUCGGCGCGUAAAGCCCUGUCAGCAGGGAAGAAAAUGACGGUACCUGAAGAAGAAGCCCCGGCUAACUACGUGCCAGCAGCCGCGGUAAUACGUAGGGGGCAAGCGUUAUCCGGAUUUACUGGGUGUAAAGGGAGCGUAGACGGCCAGACAAGUCAGAAGUGAAAGCCCAGGGCUCAACCCUGGGACUGCUUUUGAAACUGCCGGGCUGGAGUGCAGGAGAGGUAAGCGGAAUUCCUAGUGUAGCGGUGAAAUGCGUAGAUAUUAGGAGGAACACCAGUGGCGAAGGCGGCUUACUGGACUGUAACUGACGUUGAGGCUCGAAAGCGUGGGGAGCAAACAGGAUUAGAUACCCCGGUAGUC